GUCCCUGUAGCACAAUGGAUAUUGUGUGUGCGUUGGACUUCUAAUCCAAAGUUCAUCAGUUCGAAACACAUCUGGGAUG